UUUCGCACCUGGUUGAUACGAUCGUGAGUUCCCACUUUGAAAAUUCGUAUUUUGGCGCGAAGUCUGUUUAUCCGGCCCAAACCGAGCUCGCUCGAUCGUGCGUUCAUCGAAUAACCAAUAGAAACGCGUUGUGGUUCAAAUUGGAAUCAGUUGCGUCGUGGCAAACGUCAACAUGGCCACGUUCCAUGACCCCGCGACCGGACGGCGAAUGCAAUUAACAGAUGAUCUCGUCCUCGAACUGCUUCAAGAACAAUUUCCGUUCUGAUCUGUACUUGGACGAAGAUUUUUACCGGUGUAUGGGAUUAUCACGUGUAGACUACCCCGUACACGGCCGCUGUCCAUUGUCCACUGGCCCUGGGUUUACUUUGUCAGAAUUUGUUUCAAACUUCUGGAGAAAAGUAACAACGAAGUCGCGUGGGCGCACGAAAAAUAAAAAGUUUUCUGAAUAAUCCCAAUAAUAAUAUUAAUUGGUUCACAGAACUGUGAUAUAAUGUACCUUGUUAAGUGUUAAGUACAAUAAAUAGUUGAUUUUGAUUUAAAA
rnacentral:lncRNA from 1 species